rnacentral:misc_RNA from 1 species
GAUGAAGAACGUAGCGAAAUGCGAUACGUAGUGUGAAUUGCAGAAUUCCGUGAACCAUCAAAUCUUUGAACGCAUAUUGCGCUCGAGGCUUCGGCCGAGAGCAUGUCUGCCUCAGCGUCGGUAUUACCCCUCGCUUCUCAACCCCUGGUUGAUGCCUGCCUGCCUUUGCAGUUGGCUAGAAGCGGAUCUGGCUUUCCCAAUUGCCUUUGGUAGUUGGGUCAGCUGAAGCACAGAGGCUUAAACAAGGACCCGAUAUGGGCUUCAACUGGAUAGGUAGUACCGGCUUCUGCCGCCUACACGAAGUUGUAGCUUGUGGACUUUGUUAGGGGCCAAGCAGGAAACAUGCUUGAUUGCAUGCUUAAACUUUCGACCUGAGCUCAGGCAAGGCUACCCGCUGAACUUAAGCAUAUCAAUAAGCGGAGGA